rnacentral:rRNA from 1 species
AUUGAACGCUGGCGGCAUGCCUUACACAUGCAAGUCGAACGGCAGCGCGGACUUCGGUCUGGCGGCGAGUGGCGAACGGGUGAGUAAUACAUCGGAACGUACCCUGUUGGUGGGGGAUAACUAGUCGAAAGAUUAGCUAAUACCGCAUACGACCUGAGGGUGAAAGCGGGGACCGAAAGGCCUCGCGCAGCAGGAGCGGCCGAUGUCUGAUUAGCUAGUUGGUGGGGUAAAGGCCCACCAAGGCGACGAUCAGUAGCUGGUCUGAGAGGACGAUCAGCCACACUGGGACUGAGACACGGCCCAG